rnacentral:rRNA from 1 species
AGAGUUUGAUCCUGGCUCAGGAUGAACGCUGGCGGCGUGCCUAACACAUGCAAGUCGAGCGAAGCACUGAACUUUGAUCCUUCGGGUGAAGAGUUCUGUGACUGAGCGGCGGACGGGUGAGUAACACGUAGGUAACCUGCCUCACACAGGGGGAUAACAGUUAUAAAUGACUGCUAAUACCGCAUAAGCGCACAGGGCCGCAUGGCCCGGUGUGAAAAGCUCCGGCGGUGUGAGAUGGACCUGCGUCUGAUUAGCCAGUUGGCGGGGUAACGGCCCACCAAAGCGACGAUCAGUAGCUGGCCUGAGAGGGUGGACGGCCACAUUGGGACUGAGACACGGCCCAGACUCCUACGGGAGGCAGCAGUGGGGAAUAUUGCACAAUGGGGGAAACCCUGAUGCAGCGACGCCGCGUGAGCGAAGAAGUAUCUCGGUAUGUAAAGCUCUAUCAGCAGGGAAGAAGAUGACGGUACCUGACUAAGAAGCACCGG